UACGAAGGGGGCUAGCGUUGCUCGGAAUCACUGGGCGUAAGGCGCACGUAGGCGGAUCGUUAAGUCAGGGGUGAAAUCCUGGAGCUCAACUCCAGAACUGCCUUUGAUACUGGCGACCUUGAGUUCGGGAGAGGUGAGUGGAACUGCGAGUGUAGAGGUGAAAUUCGUAGAUAUUCGCAAGAACACCAGUGGCGAAGGCGGCUCACUGGCCCGAUACUGACGCUGAGGUGCGAAAGCGUGGGGAGCAAACAGG
rnacentral:rRNA from 1 species